AUCUAGUUCAUAUAUUUAGAUUUUCACCGAUACAGUGAGGAGACUUGUAAAGACAGACAGCAGCAGAAGUAGGAUUGGAUGGCCAGUGGUGCAGAGGGGUGUCGUCUAAGCUCAUCCAUGUGGCUGCCCAGGGCAAUGCUGACAGCUGCACAGAAAGCUCACAACUUCCCUCCAGAAGCUGAAGAAAAGUGAACUCCCAAUCAUGUUAGUAGCAAUUUGGUGUGACCGUUAGGAACCCCGUUUGCUCAGUUUUAUUUAAGUUUAUUUGAUCAAGGAACAUUGCAGGAUGGUUACUGUUACAGUUAAAAGCACAUUAUAGAUUAAUCAGGUGUCGAUAGCACACAUGCAUUUGUUCAGUGAGCUUCAAUUAAUAAAAUGAACAGUAAAAGACACAGCAGAAGCAGUUAUUUUCACUUUUUGGCCACAGUACUGCUCUCUUUACUGCUCUGUAAUUGCUGUUUGCACUUAGUUUGCACUUGGAAUCUUUUACCGAAAUAUUGUGCUUUCUUGGGGGUGUUGCAAGUGAGUCAUGUACCUGGCCUUUCGUGGGAAACCACACAUUAAAAUAAGAUUUAAAAAGCACAGCUAUACAUAACCUUGGCAGAGGUUUAUGAGACGUAUUCAUGCGGCACGUCUCUCAAGUACAGGAUUUGCAGGAUAAGGCAUUUGCGAGCAUGUGUUGUGCUUUCGUAUCCUUUGUAAUGUUUAUGCUAAUGAUUUCAACAUCUGAUACACAAGUUUUCCUAAGAGAAAGCAUAGGAGGGGAGGUGCAUUUAAAAAAAGACUAUUCCUGUUCUCUCUUACCCUCUCGCUCUCUUUCCUACUCUCUGCCAUACGUAGCUCUUACCUGGAGAGAUAAAACUAUAGCACACACCUACAUCACACCAACGCUCAGCUUCCUGUGCUGCCCAAGAGUAUUACAUCAGCCACCCCAACCUUAACCCUAGCACUCAAAUUCAGGACUUAUUCAUUGAAAUAUUCAGAGAUCCAAACUUGGUAUAUGUUAUUGAGCUGAUACCCACAUUGCUCUGAGACUACUGGUCCCAUCGGUAGCAUUAUGGGUUAGAUAGCGAGAAGGAUUUGCUUGUGGGGUACUAAUAGAGCACUAUAAGGAUGCUAACAGCAUGUUUAGUGUGGGUUCAUCACUGUGACCUUGGAAGGAGCAGUGUGACCCUCAUGAACAGUGUGUGGGAAGAUGAUUUGUCAAGUCAACUUCAGCGCACAUGAACC